rfam:Triticum aestivum genome assembly, contig: Triticum_aestivum_CS42_TGACv1_scaffold_621591_7DS
GGGUGUAUAGCUUAGUUGGUAGAGCAUUGGGCUUUUAACCUAAUUGUCGUAGGUUCAAGUUCUGCUAUACCCA